CCUACGGGUGGCAGCAGUGAGGAAUAUUGGUCAAUGGGAGAGAGCCUGAACCAGCCAAGCCGCGUGAGGGAAGACGGCCCUAUGGGUUGUAAACCUCUUUUGUCGGAGAACAAAACCCGGGACGUGUCCCGGACUGCGUGUAUCCGAAGAAAAAGCAUCGGCUAACUCCGUGCCAGCAGCCGCGGUAAUACGGAGGAUUCAAGCGUUAUCCGGAUUUAUUGGGUUUAAAGGGUGCGUAGGCGGUCGGAUAAGUUAGAGGUGAAAUCCCGGGGCUCAACUUCGGAAUUGCCUCUGAUACUGUUCGGCUAGAGAGUGGUUGAGGUAGGCGGAAUGUAUGGUGUAGCGGUGAAAUGCUUAGAGAUCAUGCAGAACACCGAUUGCGAAGGCAGCGUACCAGGCUACUUCUGACGUUGAGGCACGAAAGCGUGGGGAGCAAACAGGAUUAGAUACCCCAGUAGUC
rnacentral:rRNA from 1 species